GCCUGGCUUGUUCAGUCAGGAGAGCAUAUGACUCUUGAUCUUGGGGUUGUGAGUUCAAGCCCCACGUUGGGUG
rnacentral:tRNA from 1 species